UGGGGAAUUUUGGACAAUGGGCGAAAGCCUGAUCCAGCAAUGCCGCGUGUGUGAAGAAGGCCUUCGGGUUGUAAAGCACUUUUGUCCGGAAAGAAAUCCUUGGCUCUAAUACAGUCGGGGGAUGACGGUACCGGAAGAAUAAGCACCGGCUAACUACGUGCCAGCAGCCGCGGUAAUACGUAGGGUGCAAGCGUUAAUCGGAAUUACUGGGCGUAAAGCGUGCGCAGGCGGUUUGCUAAGACCGAUGUGAAAUCCCCGGGCUCAACCUGGGAACUGCAUUGGUGACUGGCAGGCUAGAGUAUGGCAGAGGGGGGUAGAAUUCCACGUGUAGCAGUGAAAUGCGUAGAGAUGUGGAGGAAUACCGAUGGCGAAGGCAGCCCCCUGGGCCAAUACUGACGCUCAUGCACGAAAGCGUGGGGAGCAAACAGGAUUAGAUACCCUGGUAAUCCACGCCCUAAACGAUGUCAACUAGUUGUUGGGGAUUCAUUUCCUUAGUAACGUAGCUAACGCGUGAAGUUGACCGCCUGGGGAGUACGGUCG
rnacentral:rRNA from 1 species